rnacentral:rRNA from 1 species
GUGGGGAAUAUUGGACAAUGGGCGCAAGCCUGAUCCAGCCAUGCCGCGUGAGUGAUGAAGGCCUUAGGGUUGUAAAGCUCUUUUGUCCGGGACGAUAAUGACGGUACCGGAAGAAUAAGCCCCGGCUAACUUCGUGCCAGCAGCCGCGGUAAUACGAAGGGGGCUAGCGUUGCUCGGAAUCACUGGGCGUAAAGGGCGCGUAGGCGGCCUAGUAAGUUGGGGGUGAAAGCCCGUGGCUCAACCACGGAAUUGCCUUCGAUACUGCUUGGCUUGAGUGUGGUAGAGGUUGGUGGAACUGCGAGUGUAGAGGUGAAAUUCGUAGAUAUUCGCAAGAACACCGGUGGCGAAGGCGGCCAACUGGACCAUCACUGACGCUGAGGCGCGAAAGCGUGGGGAGCAAACAGG